GGGGCCGUAGCUCAGUGGUUAGAGCAGGGGACUCAUAAUCCCUCGGUCGAAGGUUCGAUCCCUUCCGGCCCCACCG
rnacentral:tRNA from 1 species